AUUGAACGCUGGCGGCAGGCCUAACACAUGCAAGUCGAGCGGAGGAAGGGAGCUUGCUCCUGGAUUCAGCGUCGGACGGGGGAGUAAUGCCUAGGAAUCUGCCUGGUAGUGGGGGAUAACGUCCGGAAACGGGCGCUAAUACCGCAUACUACCUGAGGGAGAAAGAUGAGGAUCUUCGGACCUCACGCAAUCAAAUAAUACUAGAUCGGAUUAGCUAGUUGGUGGGGUAAAGGCCUACCAAGGCUACGAUCCGUAACUGGUCUGAGAGGAUGAUCAGUCACCCUGGACCGGAGCCCCGGUCCAGACUCCUACGGGAGGCAGCAGUGGGGAAUAUUGGACAAUGGGCGAAAGCCUGAUCCAGCCCUGCCGCGUGUGUGAAGAAGGUCUUCGGAUUGUAAAGCACUUUAAGUUGGGAGGAAGGGCAGUAAGUUAAUACCUUGAUGUUUUGACGUUACCAACAGAAUAAGCACCGGCUAACUUCGUG
rnacentral:rRNA from 1 species